UGAGGGAUAUUGGGCAAUGGGCGCAAGCCUGACCCAGCGACGCCGCGUGGAGGACGACGGGCUUCGGCUCGUAAACUCCUUUUCCCGGGGCCGAGACAAGGACGGUACCCGGGGAAUAAGUCUCGGCUAACUACGUGCCAGCAGCCGCGGUAAUACGGAGGGUGCAAGCGUUAUCCGGAUUCACUGGGUUUAAAGGGUGCGUAGGUGGGCAGAUAAGUCAGUGGUGAAAUCUUCCGGCUUAACCGGGAAACUGCCGUUGAUACUAUUUGUCUUGAAUAUUGCGGAGGUAAGCGGAAUAUGUCAUGUAGCGGUGAAAUGCUUAGAUAUGACAUAGAACACCAAUUGCGAAGGCAGCUUACUACACAAUCAUUGACACUGAGGCACGAAAGCGUG
rnacentral:rRNA from 1 species